GAUGAACGCUGGCGGCGUGCCUAAUACAUGCAAGUCGAGCGAACAGACGAGGAGCUUGCUCCUCUGACGUUAGCGGCGGACGGGUGAGUAACACGUGGAUAACCUACCUAUAAGACUGGGAUAACUUCGGGAAACCGGAGCUAAUACCGGAUAAUAUAUUGAACCGCAUGGUUCAAUAGUGAAAGACGGUUUUGCUGUCACUUAUAGAUGGAUCCGCGCCGCAUUAGCUAGUUGGUAAGGUAACGGCUUACCAAGGCAACGAUGCGUAGCCGACCGGAGAGGGUGAUCGGCCGCCCUGGAACUGAGACACCGUCCAUGCUCCUACGGGAGGCAGCAGUAGGGAAUCUUCCGCAAUGGUCGAAAGCCUGGCGGAGCGACGCCGCGUGAGUGAUGAAAGUCUUCGGAUCGUAAAGCUCUGUUAUUAGGGAAGAACAAAUGUGUACGUAACUAUGCACGUCUUGACGGUACCUAAUCAGAAAGCCCCGGCUAACUACGUG
rnacentral:rRNA from 1 species